rnacentral:rRNA from 1 species
GAUGAGCGCUGGCGGCGUGCCUAAUACAUGCAAGUCGAGCGAACGGACGAGAAGCUUGCUUUUCUGGUGUUAGCGGCGGACGGGUGAGUAACACGUGGAUAACCUACCUAUAAGACUGGGAUAACUUCGGGAAACCGGAGCUAAUACCGGAUAAUAUUUUGAACCGCAUGGUUCAAAAGUGAAAGACGGUCUUGCUGUCACUUAUAGAUGGAUCCGCGCUGCAUUAGCUAGUUGGUAAGGUAACGGCUUACCAAGGCAACGAUGCAUAGCCGACCUGAGAGGGUGAUCGGCCACACUGGAACUGAGACACGGUCCAGACUCCUACGGGAGGCAGCAGUAGGGAAUCUUCCGCAAUGGGCGAAAGCCUGACGGAGCAACGCCGCGUGAGUGAUGAAGGUCUUCGGAUCGUAAAACUCUGUUAUUAGGGAAGAACAUAUGUGUAAGUAACUGUGCACAUCUUGACGGUACCUAAUCAGAAAGCCACGGCUAACUACGUG